GUUCAUUUGUGGAAUAGCCCCUUCUCUGUGGCAUUGAUAUGGCAUGCCAAUUUUGUCAUAUAAUGAGGUUCCACACAAGCAUGGUUCUGUUUCUCAGCAUUCUGACUGUUUCUGCACCUAUGCCACACUGAAUAACCAAAGCUCAAGAGUUAAGUCAUCUGGUUUAACAGUUCUGGAGGCUGGGAAGUGCAAGACCAAGAUAUGAACAGAUUCAUUAUCUGGUACAGAUACCCUGCAUAUUUUUGGCCUCAUAUGAAGAAAGAAAUGUUUUUGAAAGUUUACGUGUGUGCAUUUAUCAUCAUAAAUACAUUUAAUUCAUUGUAAAGACAUAGCAAGAUAAUCAGCUGUCUGAUAAUUAUAAGGUGUUGAUUAGAAAAUAGGUACUUACUUUAAAUAAAAUUGUUAUAUUAAACUA
rnacentral:lncRNA from 1 species